rnacentral:rRNA from 1 species
AGCGAACGCCGGCGGCACGCCUAACACAUGCAAGCCGAACGUAGUCUUCGGACUUAGUGGCGGACGGGUGAGUAACACGCGGGUACGUACCUUUUGGUUCGGAACAACUCAGGGAAACUUGAGCUAAUACCGGAUGAGCCCUUAGGGGGCAAGAUUUAUCGCCGAAAGAGCGGCCCGCGUUAGAUUAGCUAGUUGGUGAGGUAAAGGCUCACCAAGGCUACGAUCUAUAGCUGGUCUGAGAGGAUGAUCAGUCACACUGGGACUGAGACACGGCCCAGACUCCUACGGGAGGCAGCAGUGGGGAAUCUUGCGCAAUGGGCGAAAGCCUGACGCAGCCAUGCCGCGUGAAUGAUGAAGGUCUUAGGAUUGUAAAAUUCUUUUACCAGGGACGAUAAUGACGGUACCUGGAGAAAAAGCCCCGGCUAACAUCGUGCCAGCCGCCGCCGUAAAAC